GAUGAACGCUGGCGGCGUGCCUAAUACAUGCAAGUCGAGCGAAUGGAUUAAGAGCUUGCUCUUAUGAAGUUAGCGGCGGACGGGUGAGUAACACGUGGGUAACCUGCUCAUAAGACUGGGAUAACUCCGGGAAACCGGGGCUAAUACCGGAUAACAUUUUGAACCGCAUGGUUCGAAAUUGAAAGGCGGCUUCGGCUGUCACUUAUGGAUGGACACGCGUCGCAUUAGCUAGUUGGUGAGGUAACGGCUCACCAAUGCAACGAUGCGUAGCCGACCUGCGAGGGUGAUCGGCCACACUGGGACUGAGACACGGCCCAGACUCCUACGGGAGGCAGCAGUAGGGAAUCUUCCGCAAUGGACGAAAGUCUGACGGAGCAACGCCGCGUGAGUGAUGAAGGCUUUCGGGUCGUAAAACUCUGUUGUUAGGGAAGAACAAGUGCUAGUUGAAUAAGCUGACACCUUGACGGUACCUAACCAGAAAGCCACGGCUAACUACGUGCCAGCCGCCGCAGUAA
rnacentral:rRNA from 1 species